rnacentral:lncRNA from 1 species
AGUUGGGUUAGACCUAAAGUUAGAAUCAAAGAGUAAAUGGACCAUGUAGAGAAAUUGAUUAAAUCUUGUUAGAAAAUAUAUUCCAAAGUCAAUCAUCAGCCUGUUGAUGAUUAUGCUCAUAUUUGUAAUUGUAUAUAAAUUUUUAUUAAUAAAAAUUAUUUGAUUUUUUUAUCAUAAUUUAUCCAUCUUAUCUGAACUCUUGUAUUGUGAUGAAGUC